rnacentral:lncRNA from 1 species
UUCACCUCACAUGCUAGGAGUGAAAAAAAUAUUGAGAGAAUGGACCUAACAUAAUUGAUUUUUUAGGUGGAAUUGUAGUAAUUGCUGUGAGACAAGAAAGAGAAGGUAGAUGAAUAAAAAGUUGAGAGGAAGGAGAUACAAGAGGAGUACGAGUUUGAGAUGAGAGAGUAGGUGAUUGUUUUUUUGUGUGUGGCUGGAGGAUGGAUAAUUAUAACCUUUGAUGAAGAAAGAAUAGUUGAGGCUAAAAAAGGUCUAUUACUUUUAUUUUAUUUAUAUAAUGGGGAUUCUUUCAUUUACUUUUUGUAAAAAAGAGGUCUCACUCAUUAGAUCUUAAAGUGGAUGGCUUGGGGCACUCGCAAAGUUUGAUAAAAUUUUUUUUAGGAAUUUUGUGUCUAACAAUGACACUCUUACAACCACCCAUUUUGAAAUCUAACGGAUAAAAA